UACCAGACUCCUACGGGAGGCAGCAGUGGGGAAUAUUGCACAAUGGGGGAAACCCUGAUGCAGCGACGCCGCGUGAGUGAAGAAGUAUUUCGGUAUGUAAAGCUCUAUCAGCAGGGAAGAAAUAGCGACCUUUGGGUCGCCAGACGGUACCUGACUAAGAAGCCCCGGCUAACUACGUGCCAGCAGCCGCGGUAAUACGUAGGGGGCAAGCGUUAUCCGGAUUUACUGGGUGUAAAGGGAGCGUAGGCGGCUUCUUAAGUCUGUAGUCUAAGCCCGGAGCUUAACUCCGGUUCGCUACAGAAACUGAUUAGCUUGAGUAUGGUAGAGGCAAGUGGAAUUUCUAGUGUAGCGGUUAAAUGCGUAGAUAUUAGAAGGAACACCAGUGGCGAAGGCGACUUGCUGGGCCAUUACUGACGCUGAGGCACGAAAGCGUGGGGAGCAAAUAGGAUUAGAUACCCCUGUA
rnacentral:rRNA from 1 species